GAUGAACGCUGGCGGCGUGCCUAAUACAUGCAAGUCGAGCGAACAGACGAGGAGCUUGCUCCUCUGACGUUAGCGGCGGACGGGCGAGUAACACGUGGAUAACCUACCUAUAAGACUGGGAUCACUUCGGGAAACCGGGGCUAAUACCGGAUAAUAUAUUGAACCGCAUGGUUCAAUAGUGAACGACGGUUGUGCUGUCACUUAUAGACGGAUCCGCGCCGCAUUAGCAAGUUGGUAAGGUAACGGCAUACCAAGGCGACGAUGGGUAGCCGACCUGAGCGGGUGAUCGGCCACACUGGAACUGAGACACGGUCCAGACUCCUACGGGAGGCAGCAGUAGGGAAUCUUCCGCAAUGGGCGAGAUCCUGACGGAGCAACACCGCGUGAGUGAUGAAGGUCUUCGGAUCGUAAAACUCUGUUAUUAGGGAAGAACAAAUGUGUAAGUAACUAUGCACGUCUUGACGGUACCUAAUCAGAAAGCCACGGCUAACUACGUG
rnacentral:rRNA from 1 species